UUGUGAACCAUAUCCCAUAAACUACCCUGUUGUAAAAGUCGUCUUUGACAAACUACAUCUCCAUCAGACCUCCGUCCACUUUCUUCUCCAAACCAAAUACUGUUCAAGGUUUCUGCAUAAACGUAAACAAAAUCCUCGUGCAACAAUAAGAUUUAAAUUCGUAAAAAAAUAGAAACAAUUUACGCUUAAAAUUCAGUGAAUCAUUUUGCAAACUAAUAGUGAAUUAAUUUUUUACCAAAUGAAUAUUUUUUUUCAGAAAUUGAAUAGUUUAGACUCCGAUUCCAACCACUAUUCCCGUACUAUACGACAAUAGAUCGAAACCUCGUUACUGAAAUAUAUUUUCACCAGAAGUUAUCGUCUACGUAUAUGUGUGGGACUCCGCCUAGAGUUUGUAAUUCUUGAGAAGCGCCUUUACCUUGGAGAAUAUAUAUCCCGUUCUUA
rnacentral:lncRNA from 1 species